AGUGAACGCUGGCGGUAGGCCUAACACAUGCAAGUCGAACGGCAGCACAGUAAGAGCUUGCUCUUACGGGUGGCGAGUGGCGGACGGGUGAGGAAUACAUCGGAAUCUACUUUUUCGUGGGGGAUAACGUAGGGAAACUUACGCUAAUACCGCAUACGACCUACGGGUGAAAGCAGGGGAUCUUCGGACCUUGCGCGAUUGAAUGAGCCGAUGUCGGAUUAGCUAGUUGGCGGGGUAAAGGCCCACCAAGGCGACGAUCCGUAGCUGGUCUGAGAGGAUGAUCAGCCACACUGGAGCUGAGACACGGUCCAGACUCCUACGGGAGGCAGCAGUGGGGAAUAUUGGACAAUGGGCGCAAGCCUGAUCCAGCCAUACCGCGUGGGUGAAGAAGGCCUUCGGGCUGUAAAGCCCUUUUGUUGGGAAAGAAAAGCAGCAGGUUAAUACCCCGCUGUUCUGACGGUACCCAAAGAAUAAGCACCGGCUAACUUCGUG
rnacentral:rRNA from 1 species